rnacentral:rRNA from 1 species
CAGGAUGAACGCUGGCGGCGUGCCUAACACAUGCAAGUCGAGCGAUUACUUCGGUAAAGAGCGGCGGACGGGUGAGUAACGCGUGGGUAACCUGCCUCAUACACAUGGAUAACAUACCGAAAGGUAUGCUAAUACAAGAUAAUAUAAGAGAUUCACAUGGAUUUCUUAUCAAAGCUCCGGCGGUAUGAGAUGGACCCGCGUCUGAUUAGCUAGUUGGUAAGGUAAUGGCUUACCAAGGCGACGAUCAGUAGCCGACCUGAGAGGGUGAUCGGCCACAUUGGAACUGAGACACGGUCCAAACUCCUACGGGAGGCAGCAGUGGGGAAUAUUGCACAAUGGGCGAAAGCCUGAUGCAGCAACGCCGCGUGAGUGAUGAAGGCCUUCGGGUCGUAAAACUCUGUCCUCAAGGAAGAUAAUGACGGUACUUGAGGAGGAAGCCCCGGCUAACUACGUGCCAGCCGCAGC